UUUCAAGGGAGAGAGAAAGAGAGAGUUUCAAAGAGUUUGGUGGUGCGCUUGCGUUAGGGAGGUUCUCUGGAAGGCUCAAGCUCAGUUUUUUGUUUUUGUUUUUGUUUUGGGUGUUCUGUUUCUAUAACUGCACAAGCACAAUAGCAAUGGAGGUCUGUGGCAAAUCUGGAGUAGCAGGGCCUGCUAAGGUUAUUUUUCUGUCAACUAUUCUGGGCCGUGACGGGUCAAUUCCUGUUCACAAAUGCGACUGGAAGUGUGAAAAUGAACAUGUCUGUGGUAAUAUGUAUCGCUGCAAACUAACUGGACUCACUCACAUCUGUGACAAGAACUGUAACCAGAGGAUUCUGUAUGACAACCACAGCUCACUCUGCCGGGCAAGUGGUCAAAUUUUUCCCCUUUCAGCAGCUGAGGAGCAGGCAGUGAGAGGUGUCCGGAGGAAACUUGACUCGGAGAAUUCACCUACUGAUAGCUGUGGUUUUAAGCGCAGACGGGAUGCACAGUACCAUCCUUCUCCUUUCGAGAGAUCCUUCUCUGCUGUCAGUCCAAUCUGCAGCCAAGUUGGAGAUGGCAUGGAUAUGAGCUAGAUUUAUAGCAUAAAUGAAGGCUUCUAUUGCUUAUCUUAAUCUUGUUCCCUUUCAAAUCUUUCCUUUUCUAUUCACGGACAAAUUUGGACAGUAGAACUUAUGAAUCGGGCCAUAAUCAGUACAGGGUACUCUGGUUAUUUUCAAGACUUGUUUGAUGAUUUUUUUAGGUGAAAUUAUUAUCUCUGGAAGAUGAGAAUGAAGAUACACCUAGCAACACUGAUGAUGGCAAUAUGGUAAUAUUUUUCUGCAUUAAAAUUCUUCAUUUUCCUCUUUACUGCUUGGUUGGAGGGAAGACAAUCUACUUGUUUUCAUAUGCUCUAUUGCCCAUAUGUUUUUAUCUACUUGUUGGCAUCUCUACGACUCUUGUCAUACCAGAAGAGUUGAUUUCAAAUUUGCUUGAGCACGUUCUUCUAUUCUUGCCUUGCUUUCGUGUCAAUCCUUGAUCUUCUCCUGGCAGCUUGGCAGCUUGGCAGCAUCCAAUUUUAAGGGAAGUUCAAACUAAUUCUGGCACUUUUGUAUACCGCCUUUGGUUGAUAUAGUUUGUACGGUAUAUGAGUUACGCUUUUAUUCCUUUUUUCAGGGUGUCAUUUUUGGAGAUAGGUUGGUAAGACUUCAGCUGGCAAAUCAUCGUCUUGGCUGAUGGUGAAAAGGAAAGAAAUUAUUAAAGUGAUGGUUACAAACCUUGUGAACCUUGCUGAUUGUGAUCAAGUCCAGCUAAUCUAUUCAUACAAAGCUGUAGUUUUAUGUGAAAAGGAUGUAAUUCAACUUUGUGAACAUUGAUGGUUUACCUUAUUAAGGUGUGGUAGCUAAAAACUUUUUUUA